CAUGGGACAACAUAAUCUGAUUCUGUUGUAACUUAAGAGCAGCAUACAAUAUUUAUAUGAAAAAAUGAUUAUGAAAUGGAAUUUGGAUGUACAUAUUUGUGUGGGUAAGCAGAUUUCAAUUGCAUACUGCGUUAAGAUAAAUAUUAUUCGUCGGAGGUAGCGGCGUCAGCAAUUUUUUAGUUUGUGCAUAGGUUAUUCUGUUUAAAUAGUGGUCUUGAUGAAACUGUGAUAGAAGGUUGUUUAUACAUCAGCGAUAUCUAUGUAAUUGAAAAAUAUCAAAACGAAGGUAUAGAAACACACUUGCUACAAAUGGCAGAGAAGGAAGCAUUGAAAAAUAAUAU